rnacentral:rRNA from 1 species
CGGCACGGGUGAGUAACACGUAUCCAACCUGCCGUCUACUCUUGGACAGCCUUCUGAAAGGAAGAUUAAUACAAGAUGGCAUCAUGAGUCCGCAUGUUCACAUGAUUAAAGGUAUUCCGGUAGACGAUGGGGAUGCGUUCCAUUAGAUAGUAGGCGGGGUAACGGCCCACCUAGUCUUCGACGGAUAGGGGUUCUGAGAGGAAGGUCCCCCACAUUGGAACUGAGACACGGUCCAA